GAUAAAAUCAUUGUGCAGUGAUUUGUGAUCACAUAAAUUAUUCAUCGCGCAAUGUCUGUACUAUAACAAUCUAAUGUUCGUGACUCAUUUCAUCAUCUGGAAAGUGGUGCCUCCUAGACUAGACCGUAUAUAUCAAACCCAAUUCGAUGAAAUUGAAUAAACGCGCCAACAGUGAGUUUGGUCACCCGUCCUAAUUAUAUGUAGCCAUUUGGUUGUGGUUUCCGUGUCGGAUGGUGGUAUAUGAUUCUCGUACACACGGCGGAAGCAAAAUCACUUGUUAUGAUUCUAUUAUUUGGCGCUUCCAGAUUUCAUCCAUCCAGAUCCAGAGAAACAUUACAGAACCAACAUGAUUUAGUUUUUGAGCUAGCGUUAUAUACAAUUCCGGAAAUGAUGUUUUCGACGUACCGGUCCGAACUACUCAAUCCUGAUAAAGGGCUGUAUAAGCGAAUUACACUACUCUUACAAGCUGAACCAAACAUAUUUUAUAAACAUUAUUCGUGCGACUUAAUGCAAAAAUAGAACAGCUACAGUUAGUGAGGGAAACGGUAUCGCUAUCAACAAUUUAAUCAUCUUUUAAAACAUUUAAAAGGAAAUUCUACAUCACAGUUCAUGUAUUCUACGCUUAAGCACAUGUACGCGUUACUAAAGAACGUAUAUAGAUUAAUUGAAUAAUAUUUAACAUGUAGAAAAA